rnacentral:rRNA from 1 species
UACGAAGGGGGCUAGCGUUGCUCGGAAUCACUGGGCGUAAAGCGCACGUAGGCGGCUUUUUAAGUCAGGGGUGAAAUCCUGGAGCUCAACUCCAGAACUGCCUUUGAUACUGAGAGGCUCGAGUCCGGGAGAGGUGAGUGGAACUGCGAGUGUAGAGGUGAAAUUCGUAGAUAUUCGCAAGAACACCAGUGGCGAAGGCGGCUCACUGGCCCGGUACUGACGCUGAGGUGCGGAAAGCGUGGGGAGCAAACAGGG